UUUGUCCAAAGCGGGGGAGCAUGUGGUUUAAUUUGAUGCAACGCGAAGAACCUUACCUACUCUUGACAUCCAGAGAACUUAGCAGAGAUGCUUUGGUGCCUUCGGGAACUCUGAGACAGGUGCUGCAUGGCGGUCGUCAGCUCGUGUUGUGAAAUGUUGGGUUAAGUCCCGCAACGAGCGCAACCCUUUUCCUUUGUUCCCAGCGGUUCGGUCGGGAACUCAAAGGAGACUGCCAGUGAUAAACUGGAGGAAGGUGGGGAUGACGUCAAGUCAUCAUGGCCCUUACGACUAGGGCUACACACGUGCUACAAUGGCAUAUACAAAGAGAAGCGACCUCGCGAGAGCAAGCGGACCUCAUAAAGUAGUCCUAGUCCGGAUGGGAGUCUGCAACUCGACUCCGGAAGUCGGAAUCGCUGAUCGUCGCCU
rnacentral:rRNA from 1 species